GUGGGGAAUUUUGGACAAUGGGCGCAAGCCUGAUCCAGCAAUGCCGCGUGCAGGAAGAAGGCCUUCGGGUUGUAAACUGCUUUUGUACGGAACGAAAAGGCUCUGGUUAAUACCUGGGGCUCAUGACGGUACCGUAAGAAUAAGCACCGGCUAACUACGUGCCAGCAGCCGCGGUAAUACGUCGGGUGCAAGCGUUAAUCGGAAUUACUGGGCGUAAAGCGUGCGCAGGCGGUUUUGUAAGACAGACGUGAAGUCCCCGGGCUCAACCUGGGAAUGGCGUUUGUGACUGCAAAGCUGGAGUGCGGCAGAGGGGGAUGGAAUUCCGCGUGUAGCAGUGAAAUGCGUAGAUAUGCGGAGGAACACCGAUGGCGAAGGCAAUCCCCUGGGCCUGCACUGACGCUCAUGCACGAAAGCGUGGGGAGCAAACAGGAUUAGAUACCCUGGUAGUCC
rnacentral:rRNA from 1 species